rnacentral:rRNA from 1 species
UGGCAGACGGGUGAGUAACACGUGGGAACCUUCCUCGUAGUACGGAACAACUCAGGGAAACUUGAGCUAAUACCGCAUACGCCCCGGAGCAAUCCGGGGAAAGAUUUAUCGCUAUGAGACGGGCCCGCGUCCGAUUAGGUAGUUGGUGGGGUAACGGCCUACCAAGCCGACGAUCGGUAGCUGAUCUGAGAGGAUGAUCAGCCACACUGGGACUGAGACACGGCCCAG